rnacentral:rRNA from 1 species
GACGAACGCUGGCGGCGCGCCUAACACAUGCAAGUCGAACGAGAGAUGAGGAGCUUGCUCUUCAAAUCGAGUGGCGAACGGGUGAGUAACGCGUGAGGAACCUGCCUCAAAGAGGGGGACAACGGUUGGAAACGACUGCUAAUACCGCAUAAGCCCACGGCUCGGCAUCGAGCAGAGGGAAAAGGAGCAAUCCGCUUUGAGAUGGCCUCGCGUCCGAUUAGCUAGUUGGUGAGGUAACGGCCCACCAAGGCGACGAUCGGUAGCCGGACUGAGAGGUUGAACGGCCACAUUGGGACUGAGACACGGCCCAGACUCCUACGGGAGGCAGCAGUGGGGAAUAUUGCACAAUGGGGGAAACCCUGAUGCAGCGACGCCGCGUGGAGGAAGAAGGUCUUCGGAUUGUAAACUCCUGUUGUUGAGGAAGAUAAUGACGGUACUCAACAAGGAAGUGACGGCUAACUACGUGCCAGCAGCCGCGGUAAAACGUAGGUCACAAGCGUUGUCCGGAAUUACUGGGUGUAAAGGGAGCGCAGGCGGGAGAACAAGUUGGAAGUGAAAUCCAUGGGCUCAACCCAUGAACUGCUUUCAAAACUGUUUUUCUUGAGUAGUGCAGAGGUAGGCGGAAUUCCCGGUGUAGCGGUGGAAUGCGUAGAUAUCGGGAGGAACACCAGUGGCGAAGGCGGCCUACUGGGCACCAACUGACGCUGAGGCUCGAAAGUGUGGGUAGCAAACAGGAUUAGAUACCCUGGUAGUCCACACCGUAAACGAUGAUUACUAGGUGUUGGAGGACUGACCCCUUCAGUGCCGCAGUUAACACAAUAAGUAAUCCACCUGGGGAGUACGACCGCAAGGUUGAAACUCAAAGGAAUUGACGGGGGCCCGCACAAGCAGUGGAGUAUGUGGUUUAAUUCGACGCAACGCGAAGAACCUUACCAAGUCUUGACAUCCUGCGACGCACAUAGAAAUAUGUGUUUCCUUCGGGACGCAGAGACAGGUGGUGCAUGGUUGUCGUCAGCUCGUGUCGUGAGAUGUUGGGUUAAGUCCCGCAACGAGCGCAACCCUUAUGGUCAGUUACUACGCAAGAGGACUCUGGCCAGACUGCCGUUGACAAAACGGAGGAAGGUGGGGAGGACGUCAAAUCAUCAUGCCCCCUAUGACUUGGGCUACACACGUACUACAAUGGCGUUAAACAAAGAGAAGCAAGACCGCGAGGUGGAGCAAAACUCAGAAACAACGUCCCAGUUCGGACUGCAGGCUGCAACUCGCCUGCACGAAGUCGGAAUUGCUAGUAAUCGUGGAUCAGCAUGCCACGGUGAAUAAAAGGCCGGGCCUUGCACA